CACCACAAGAUCCCCUCGCACCAGACCCAUCCUGGAUGCCAUGGUGGAGAAGACAGUCUUCAGUGGGUUGAAGACAGCAAUGUCCAGGGGCUGAAGGAUGGGCAGGAGCAUGUUUUACAAAGUGCCGGAGGCAUUUGAGGAAGAGCUCCAUGUCCAUGUGCCACUUCUUCUGGAUGGCCCCUCCAGCCAUAUGCAUUGCCUGGGAGGCAGCCGGGAUAAAUAAUGAAAGGUGGAAUGCUUUCCCCGGCUGCAUUCACACAACAGUGCACUGUGAUGUGGUCUCUGGUCAUCUGCUGCUGCUGGUAUGUGUUUCCUCCCAGUCUCUAUGCACAGGACUUUCUUCGUGGACCUAGGCUUGUCCCCAAAGACAGUUUCAUCACAGUUGACGAUGAGAUGUGGCUUGUCCUCCAAACUGUGCUUCAUAUGGAGGGCCUCAUAUAUCUUAAAGAACCCUUCAAUGGCCUCUCGUAUAGCACUGGGAACUCUGGCUCUGUCCAGGAAAUCUGUCGUCCAAGAGCUCAGUUCUGGAUGGCGGGCCUUGAACCUGGACACCCAGAUGUCACUUGGCCCCUUCUCCAAAUUUACCAUCAUGCUCUCAGUUCUGCCACUCUCCUCGAUGAUCCCAAUGGCUAGCACUUUCUGACUUUGAUGAAGACACAGUAGUGUCAAAAUGUUAGUCUUUUUGCACAAUUAAAGGCUGUGAAUUAAUCAUUGUGCUCCAGUCCCCUUUGUUCCCUGGAAGGCAAGCACUUUGACUAGGGAUGUAGUCACUGGGAAGCCAUGGUCUGCCAUCCAGAACAUAAAGUAGAUAGAUCUUCCUUCGCAGGUGUCAGGGCUGAAUUGGGAUGAGGGUCGUGGGCAUAUUAUUUUUUGGUGUGAGGUAUGUUGUAAUUUUUUGAUGUUGCCCUCAAACUUGCUCCUGCUUUCAUUUCCUCAACUGCCUUCACUAGCAUCUCAUUUGUGUACUGCUUUUUCUUUCCUGAUGUCUCUUUCCCCCCUUUGCUUUCCUGACUUUCCUUUGGAAUGAACGUGGUAACAUUAGUAAUCAUGUUGACGUUUAAUCAGUUAAUGUUAUAUGAAUAAUUUUUGAUAUGUUAAUCAUGGUUUUCAGCUUCAUGUAACUUAACUAAAAUCAUUAUAAAUUAUCAUGUUGUCUGAACUUUAACUAAAAACUGUGUGAAUAUAAAUAAAUCAUUAUAAACAAUCA